AGAAAGGAGAAAGGAAGAAGAAGAGAAAGGAAGGAAGAAGGAAAAGGAAGGGAAGAAAAAAAGGAGGAGAAAGAAUCAAAUCUAAUUCUACUCUGGAACGUAAAGCAACCCAGAAGCAAGAAAAUCCAUCCUGGCAAAACAUGCAUCUGGUUGCGCUCCAGGCACUGGUAUGAUAGUUAAAUAAUUACACCCAAGCCAGGCUUCUUGACACAAGCACUACAUCAAAGUUCCAGGAGAAAGCAGCCAAUCCCUUCCUCUGAUCUGGCUGGUCUCUGGCAAGAGUUUACCUUAUCGUAAUAGUACCGCAGGGCGCGGCUCAGCUUAUCGUAGUUCAUGUUCGUCUUGUUCUUCCGUAGUCCCCACAGUUUGGCCACUUCUUCCGCCUUAAGGAGUUUGAAUUCACCAUCGUUGGAUGUCCAACAGAUUAAGUGCUCAUGCUUCUGGUCCAGCAGCAACUGCAACAGGAACUGCCACAGUGUGAUUGCACUCUCCAUACCUGGGGGGAGAGCAAAGAGGCCAAGGUCAAAGAAAGCCAGCCGGCAUUUGUACCCCAAUCUCCAGCUCCAAGGGAACUUCAAAAGCAAUUGUUGCCGGCACUUCCCCUGGGAAUAGAAUAACAAAAUUACCGAAUGGGGUAGUUAGAGCUAAGAUGUGAGCAGCGAUGUGAUAUCAUGGGGAGAAUGAUGACUCUAAACUCCCAAGGGCCAGUAUUUUAAUCCUCCCCCUUGCCACCUACUCCCCAUGUGACUUCUGGUACCCACAUUCUUCAGCUACAAAAUACAAGGCUUAGAAUCCAUAGCCUCUAAGGUCCUUUCUUCCUCUGAUUUUUUUUGGGGGGGCCCUCUGCCUUGUCAUGAAUUAUAUAUUUAGGGUUAUAUCAUUUUUUAAAAUGUAAAAUUUCACUUGUAAA